rnacentral:misc_RNA from 1 species
ACACCUCAACUCUUCAUGGUUUUUCCGUGAUGAGCUUGGACUUUGGGGGUUUUGCCGGCCUAUGGUCAGCUCCUCUAAAAUGAAUCAGCUUGCCGGUGUUUGGUGGGCAUCACAGGUGUGAUAACUAUCUACGCUUGUGGUUUUCCACCAGGUAACCUUCAGCAGUGGAGGUUCGCUGGAGCUCACAGAUGUCUCUCCUCAGUGAGGACGGCCCUUUGAAU